AGAGGCCGGGAUGAUGGGGACGACACGACGCGAGGCGAGGCGGAGCUUUUUGAAAAAUAUUUUCUCUCUUUUUUUUUCUCACUCCCCUUCGGCUUUUCGUUUCUCGGGGUGGGAGGAGGAAGGAAGGAAAACUGCAACUAGCCGCUACGCACAAGAGGAAGGAAAGGAAGCAAAGGAAAGGAAGGCCGCUGCGUCUGCGAGAGAGACUGCGACCUCUGUAGCCU
rnacentral:lncRNA from 1 species